CACCUGACCAUGGGGCCGGACCACAACACCCUUCACCACCUCAACUCCCUGCACCUGCAUUUAACAUGAGGAGAGUUACUCAUGGAACGGCAGUCCCUCCUCAACUCCCUCCACCCCCCGCACCGGCACUCAACAUGAGGCGAACAGAGGAGCCCUCUUCAAGCCUGGCCUAGAGAACAACAUGGCGAGGGGGAGGAAUGACCGAUACCAUUCCCUGCUCUGUGGCUGAGGUCCACAUCCUUAGCCUGCUGGAGACCAUUAAACAACAACAAGACCAGCUUGUGGCAAAGGUGAACUACCUCAGCAGCAGGCU